UUCCUGUACUUGGUGUUACUGCGAAGGGGGGACGGAGAAGGCUAUGUCGGCCGGGCGACGGUUGUCCCGGUUUAAGCGUGCAGGUGUGUGCUCCAGGCAAAUCCGGUGCACUUUAACACUGAGGCGUGAUGACGAGGCACUACGGUGCUGAAGUGACAAAUGCCCUGCUUCCAGGAAAAGCCUCUAAGCAUCAGGUAACACGAAAUCGUACCCCAAACCGACACAGGUGGUCAGGUAGAGAAUACCAAGGCGCUUGAGAGAACUCGGGUGAAGGAACUAGGCAAAAUGGUGCCGUAACUUCGGGAGAAGGCACGCUGAUAUGUAGGUGAAGUGAUUUACUCAUGGAGCUGAAAUCAGUCGAAGAUACCAGCUGGCUGCAACUGUUUAUUAAAAACACAGCACUGUGCAAACACGAAAGUGGACGUAUACGGUGUGACGCCUGCCCGGUGCCGGAAGGUUAAUUGAUGGGGUUAUCCCUCGGGAGAAGCUCUUGAUCGAAGCCCCGGUAAACGGCGGCCGUAACUAUAACGGUCCUAAGGUAGCGAAAUUCCUUGUCGGGUAAGUUCCGACCUGCACGAAUGGCGUAAUGAUGGCCAGGCUGUCUCCACCCGAGACUCAGUGAAAUUGAACUCGCUGUGAAGAUGCAGUGUACCCGCGGCAAGACGGAAAGACCCCGUGAACCUUUACUAUAGCUUGACACUGAACACUGGUCCUUGAUGUGCAGGAUAGGUGGGAGGCUUUGAAGUGUGGACGCCAGUCUGCAUGGAGCCGCCCUUGAAAUACCACCCUUUAAUGGCUGGUGUUCUAACGUGGGCCCGUAAUCCGGGUUGCGGACAGUGUCUGGUGGGUAGUUUGACUGGGGCGGUCUCCUCCUAAAGAGUAACGGAGGAGCACGAAGGUCAGCUAAUCCUGGUCGGACAUCAGGAGGUUAGUGCAAUGGCAUAAGCUGGCUUGACUGCGAGCGUGACGGCGCGAGCAGGUGCGAAAGCAGGUCAUAGUGAUCCGGUGGUUCUGAAUGGAAGGGCCAUCGCUCAACGGAUAAAAGGUACUCCGGGGAUAACAGGCUGAUACCGCCCAAGAGUUCAUAUCGACGGCGGUGUUUGGCACCUCGAUGUCGGCUCAUCACAUCCUGGGGCUGAAGUAGGUCCCAAGGGUAUGGCUGUUCGCCAUUUAAAGUGGUACGCGAGCUGGGUUUAGAACGUCGUGAGACAGUUCGGUCCCUAUCUGCCGUGGGCGCUGGAGAACUGAGGGGGGCUGCUCCUAGUACGAGAGGACCGGAGUGGACGCAUCACUGGUGUUCGGGUUGUCAUGCCAAUGGCACUGCCCGGUAGCUAAAUGCGGAAGAGAUAAGUGCUGAAAGCAUCUAAGCACGAAACUUGCCCCGAGAUGAGUUCUCCCUGAGACUUAGAGUCUCCUGAAGGAACGUUAAAGACGAUGACGUUGAUAGGCCGGGUGUGUAAGCGCAGCGAUGCGUUGAGCUAACCGGUACUAAUGAACCGUGAGGCUUAACCUUACAACGCCGAAG
rnacentral:rRNA from 1 species